rnacentral:rRNA from 1 species
AACGAACGCUGGCGGCGUGCCUAACACAUGCAAGUCGAACGAGAAAGGGGCUUCGGCUCCAAGUAAAGUGGCGCACGGGUGAGUAACACGUGGGUAACCUGCCUCUAAGAUUGGGAUAACUCGUCGAAAGAUGAGCUAAUACCGAAUAAGACCACAGUUCCCGCGGGAACAGGGGUCAAAGGUAGCCUCUGCUUGCAAGCUAUCACUUAGAGAUGGGCCUGCGCACCAUUAGCUAGUUGGUAGGGUAACGGCCUACCAAGGCAAAGAUGGUUAGCUGGUCUGAGAGGAUGAUCAGCCACACUGGAACUGAGACACGGUCCAGACUCCUACGGGGGGCAGCAGUGGGGAAUAUUGCGCAAUGGGCGAAAGCUUGACGCAGCAACGCCGCGUGAGUGAUGAAGGCCUUCGGGUCGUAAAGCUCUGUCGGGAGGAACGAAUGCUCCUGAGGUUAACAGCCUCGGGAGGUGACGGUACCUUCAAAGGAAGCACCGGCUAACUCUGUG